rnacentral:rRNA from 1 species
GAUGAACGCUGGCGGCGUGCCUAAUACAUGCAAGUCGAGCGAACAGACGAGGAGCUUACUCCUCUGACGUUAGCGGCGGACGGGUGAGUAACACGUGGAUAACCUACCUAUAAGACUGGGAUAACUUCGGGAAACCGGAGCUAAUACCGGAUAACAUGUUGAACCGCAUGGUUCAACAGUGAAAGACGGUCUUGCUGUCACUUAUAGAUGGAUCCGCGUCGCAUUAGCUAGUUGGUAAGGUAACGGCUUACCAAGGCAACGAUGCGUAGCCGACCUGAGAGGGUGAUCGGCCACACUGGAACUGAGACACGGUCCAGACUCCUACGGGAGGCAGCAGUAGGGAAUCUUCCGCAAUGGGCGAAAGCCUGACGGAGCAACGCCGCGUGAGUGAAGAAGGUCUUCGGAUCGUAAAACUCUGUUAUUAGGGAAGAACAAAUGUGUAAGUAGCUAUGCACGUCUUGACGGUACCUAAUCAGAAAGCCACGGCUAACUACGUG